rnacentral:rRNA from 1 species
GCUAGUUGGUAAGGUAACGGCUUACCAAGGCGACGAUCAGUAGCCGACCUGAGAGGGUGACCGGCCACACUGGAACUGAGACACGGUCCAGACUCCUACGGGAGGCAGCAGUGGGGAAUAUUGCGCAAUGGGGGGAACCCUGACGCAGCAACGCCGCGUGGAGGAAGAAGGUCUUCGGAUUGUAAACUCCUGUCUUCUGGGACGAAUAAUGACGGUACCAGAGGAGGAAGCCACGGCUAACUACGUGCCAGCAGCCGCGGUAAUACGUAGGUGGCGAGCGUUGUCCGGAAUUACUGGGCGUAAAGGGCGCGUAGGCGGCUUUUUAAGUUAGAUGUGAAAACCCGGGGCUUAACUCCGGGCGUGCAUUUAAAACUGGAGAGCUUGAGUGCAGGAGAGGUAAGUGGAAUUCCUAGUGUAGCGGUGAAAUGCGUAGAUAUUAGGAGGAACACCAGUGGCGAAGGCGACUUACUGGACUGUAACUGACGCUGAGGCGCGAAAGCGUGGGGAGCAAACAGGAUUAGAUACCCUGGUAGUCCACGCUGUAAACGAUGGAUACUAGGUGUGGGAGGUAUCGACCCCUUCCGUGCCGCAGUUAACGCAAUA